rnacentral:rRNA from 1 species
UACGAAGGGGGCUAGCGUUGCUCGGAAUCACUGGGCGUAAAGGGUGCGUAGGCGGGUUUUUAAGUCAGAGGUGAAAUCCUGGAGCUCAACUCCAGAACUGCCUUUGAUACUGAAAGUCUUGAGUAUGGGAGAGGUGAGUGGAACUGCGAGUGUAGAGGUGAAAUUCGUAGAUAUUCGUAAGAACACCAGUGGCGAAGGCGGCUCACUGGCCCAUAACUGACGCUGAGGCACGAAAGCGUGGGGAGCAAACAGG